rnacentral:rRNA from 1 species
GACGAACGCUGGCGGCGUGCCUAAUACAUGCAAGUCGAACGCAGUGGGGACGGGUGAGUAACACGUGGGUAACCUCCCAUCAGAGGGGAUAACACUUGGAAACAGGUGCUAAACCGAUACUGAUGGAUGGACCCGCGGGGCAUUAGCCAGUUGGUGAGGUAACGGCUCACCAAGGCCACGAUGCAUAGCUGGGCUGAGAGGGUGAUCGGCCACACUGGGACGGAGACACGGCCCAGACUCCUACGGGAGGCAGCAGUGGGGAAUCUUCGGCAAUGGACGAAAGUCUGACGGAGCAACGCCGCGUGGGUGAAGAAGGUUUUCGGAUCGUAAAGCUCUGUUGGUAGAGAGGCGGUAUCUAAAGAGAAAGCAACGGCUAACUACGUGCCAGCAGCCGCGGUAAUAC